UCGGAUUUGGAUCUUUUCCAUCCAACUUCUCUCCAUCCAAAUCUGAGACAUUGAUUUUGAAAUUUAAAGACUUGGAUCAAUUUAAGAAGUGAGAAAAAAAUGAAUUGUAUUUAAAGACUUGGAUCAAUUUAAGAAGAGAAAGAAAAUAUGAAUUAAUCCUUACCUUUAAAAUUCAAAAUCAAUGGCUCAGAUUUUGGAUGGAGAGGAAAUGGAGAGAAGCUGGAUGGAGAGGAUCCAAAUCUGA
rnacentral:pre_miRNA from 1 species